UACAACACGGAUGUAUUUCUCAUUUUCUCUGCUUCAACAACGAUUAGCCAUUCCGUUCCAAAAGUAAGGAUUAGCUAAUCGUCUCUGUUUUACCUUCCCCAAGCAAAAUCUGCUGCUCCAUCCCACCCUCUCCCUCCCAACAUCAACAGCAGUUUUCUUCGAAUCAAAUCUCCACCGUCUCAGAUCGCCUGUGAGUAAUCUCAACAGCAGUUGCCAGUGAAAAUUGUCCUUUCUUCAAAAACCCAGCCCUAAACCCUUCUCUUCUUUCAAUACUCCAUUCAAACAGGUUGCGGCGUCUCCCUCUUCUGAGGUAUGGCUCUGUUUCUUUAACUUUAGCAUUGAGCGACUCUUUUCAAGUCCAAAAUUAGUCUACUCAGCUUUGAAUUUAGGCCUAUUUUUGCACAGUUACGGUCUAUUGGGGGGUUCUUUGUUUUUUGUUUUUUGUUGGUUUGGUUAAAUCAUGUUAUGGUAUUUGGAUUUAAACAAAAAAAAAAAGAGAAAGACGAAGGUAUUUGUUAAGCCAAUUGUGAAAAAGCAGUAGCAACAGCAACCAAAUGCAGACCAAACAUUUUUUCUUUGCUAAAGGUUCUUGCUUUUCAAACCAUUUUUUCGCCAUUUUUCUUGUAAUUGUUUUUCUUGUUACAGUUCAGAUUUUAGAUUUUUUGGUUGUUGAGUCUUGAAGGCAGUUGUAUUCAGUAAUGGCUGGCUUGCUUUGAUGCAUUGCUUCUGUAUAUCUUUGUAGAAAACGAAUCUGUAUCUAUUUUUAACACAAAUUUGAUUAGUUCAUGCCAAUGGAUUUUUAACAUUAAAUUAGUUAUUGGCGUUAGAAAUUUAGUCUAAGAUGUUAUAUCGAAUCAGUAGCCAUGUAUCGAACAAAAGCUAGAGGUUAGUCAAUUAAAGGUAGCACCUUUAUCUUGUGAGAUAUCCACAGCCCAACAUCUUGCAGAAGCUUGUUACCAGAAGCAUCUUGCUGGUCCACGGACUGCAAGCUUUCGAAAAGAAGUUCCUGUCCGGCUCCUUCAGCUAUUAAAUUGUUACCCUGUUCUAUUUAUGUUGGAGUAGCUAAAAUCUGAGGUUGCAUUUGUCAUUAACAAAUAGAAAUCCAAAAAGAGAGGAAAUUGAUAUCAUCCCCUCCACUUUUUGCUUGGAAUUGCGUGCUUCAAAUGUUCACUAAUAUGGUUAAAAAUUCAUGUUUUAAAAAUUCUGCCUUCUUGUGAAAGUUUGUAGCAGUUUGUUGAAUCAUGCUUCUUAUUGAUUUAACUUUGUAAAUUCCGUGAACAAGUCUAAACCUUUACUGCUGAUUUCAAUGACAUAGCUGCAGCUGUAAUUCACUGCUGAUUCUUGUGAUCCAGGCAUGUGUGCUCUGUUAGAGGCUUGACUUGCAGUCUGGAAGGAUUAAUUCACUGCUGAUUCUUAUGAUCCACUGCUUCAUUUUUUCUCUCGGUCUCAGCGUUUGGUUUGAGGUAUGAAUCUUGAACUUUUCAUAUCUUUGCCUGCCUUUGCCUUGGAUUGUGGCAUGUUCAUGUGUGUAGUCUUCAACCGGAUUCACCAACUGUAUUAUGUUUGAUAUGUGGUUUGAAACACUGAAAAAUUGUACUGCUGGACAGUGAGAUUUUGUUUGAAAUUUUGACUGUUAUACUUUGUUGUUUCAUCUUGUUUUUUGACAAGUAUAAUAAUUUUUCUGUUAUACUUUGUUGUUUUGGAAAAUCCAUAGCCGUUGUGAUGUGUUGUUAGAAAUAAAUUGUUUGGAAGCAUUGCAUCAUGUUAAGGGUACUCUAAUGAUACAACAACUGAAUUCGUAUGUCAUUCAUGCCAUUGGAGACUUGUUGCAUUGAUAUUGAGAUAUUGGUAUUACACAUAUGCAUUGAGAAUGUGAUAGGAUGGCUAAUUGCUUAACAAAGGCUACAAAAGGAGUCUAUCAUUAGCUUUUACUCUUGUCCUGACCUCUUGAUUUUGCUUUCAUGUAUCUAUUUGUUAUUGGUUAUGUUCUUUUGCAAAAGGGAAUCCACAAAUUUUUUUAAUAGGCCGAGAUUAAGUUAUAUAUUGUUAUGAGAGUUAAAAUGCAAGUUUACCAUUGUAUUGACAAACAUCUUUAUAGUUUUUAAAAAGACUAAAUCAUAAGUUUAUCAUUUCUAAAAGAGUCAAAUUAUAAUUUUAUCAUGUAUUUAUUUAAAAUUUUAUAAACAUAAAAGUGAUUAAAGCUGAAAUUUUCCAUUUUAUGGGAGAGUAAGGGACUUGUAUACGCCUUUGCCUUCGCCCUUAGUUCUUUUGUUACCUUCUACAAUACAAAUUUUUUUUCAGUUUGGGUAUUUGACGUACUUGAGUAGCUGCUUGAUAUGUUUGGAAGGUUAAAAAUAAUUGGCGGUGGGGCAUAAUAUGGACCAAGAUGUUGCUGUAGUCCAUGAGGUGGGUGGGAAAUUGAUAAUGUGGCCAAAUUUGUUUUGGCUAAUAAUUCUAGGAGUAAAUCUUAGGAUUGUUUGAGCUAUUUUCGCAGUUAAUUUAUAAUUUAAGAAAAGAUUUGUAGUUUUUUUGUUGUUUUUUAUCACAUCGGGUUAUCGUUGAAUAAGAAGACAUCUUAUAAUACACAUUAUACCUAAAGC
rnacentral:lncRNA from 1 species